UGGGGAAUAUUGCACAAUGGGCGAAAGCCUGAUGCAGCGACGCCGCGUGAGGGAUGACGGCCUUCGGGUUGUAAACCUCUUUCAGCAGGGAAGAAGCGAAAGUGACGGUACCUGCAGAAGAAGCGCCGGCUAACUACGUGCCAGCAGCUGCGGUAAUACGUAAGGCGCAAGCGUUGUCCGGAAUUAUUGGGCGUAAAGAGCUCGUAGGCGGUUAGUCGCGUCUGCUGUGAAAACUCGAGGCUCAACCUCGGGCUUGCAGUGGGUACGGGCUGACUAGAGUGCGGUAGGGGUGACUGGAAUUCCUGGUGUAGCGGUGAAAUGCGCAGAUAUCAGGAGGAACACCGAUGGCGAAGGCAGGUCACUGGGCCGCAACUGACGCUGAGGAGCGAAAGCAUGGGGAGCGAACAGGAUUAGAUACCCUGGUAGUCCAUGCCGUAAACGUUGGGCACUAGGUGUGGGGU
rnacentral:rRNA from 1 species